rnacentral:rRNA from 1 species
UGGGGAAUAUUGCACAAUGGAGGGAACUCUGAUGCAGCGACGCCGCGUGAGUGAUGAAGGAAUUCGUUUCGUAAAACUCUGUUCUAUGGGAAGAAAAGGACUGUACCAUAGGAGAAAGCUCCGGCUAAAUACGUGCCAGCAGCCGCGGUAAUACGUAUGGAGCGAGCGUUGUCCGGAAUUAUUGGGCGUAAAGGGUGCGCAGGCGGCUUUACAAGUUUGAUGUGAAAUAUUGUGGCUCAACCACAAACGUGCAUCCAAAACUGCAAAGCUUGAGUUAAGGAGAGGUAAGUGGAAUUCCUGGUGUAGCGGUGGAAUGCGUAGAUAUCAGGAGGAAUACCGGUGGCGAAGGCGACUUACUGGACUUAAACUGACGCUCAGGCACGAAAGCGUGGGGAGCAAACAGG